rnacentral:siRNA from 1 species
AGGAACAUUGACUUCAAGCCUGCG